UACGUAGGUGGCAAGCGUUGUCCGGAAUUAUUGGGCGUAAAGCGCGCGCAGGCGGUCCUUUAAGUCUGAUGUGAAAGCCCACGGCUCAACCGUGGAGGGUCAUUGGAAACUGGGGGACUUGAGUACAGAAGAGGAAAGCGGAAUUCCACGUGUAGCAGUGAAAUGCGUAGAGAUGCGGAGGAACACCGAUGGCGAAGGCAGCCCCCUGGGCUGACACUGACGCUGAGGCACGAAAGCGUGGGGAGCAAACAGG
rnacentral:rRNA from 1 species